GUGGUCCGCUCCGACCUGUGACACAUGCCUCUGUGAAACUGACGAUCUCUGGUAGGAGCUGCUGGUUUGUGGUUGGCAGUAUGGAUCAUGGUCUGCGACUCAUGAUGAGCUGGGCUGGAGACAUGAAGAGGUUGUCAACAGGUGAAGAUGUCUGAAGCUAAUACCUGCCAUGGUCUGAUUGGUAUUUCAUGAGGAAUCAUGGGUUCCUUGGUAUUUGAAUUAUGUUGCACCAGGCAAUUACUGCAUCUUUUGAUCAUGUGUUCUAUCUGCUUACACAUUCCUAGCCAGAAUAACAUUUCGUGCUCUUAGCUUAGACUUCUCAGCGUGUGCGCAUAUCUUUUCUGUGUGAGGUCAGAUAUGACUAUUUUCUCAUCUUCACUGGUCAAUGAAAGUUUGUCUUAGAAGUCAAUAAUGUAUGUGGGAAAUUGUCUCCUCUUUGCAGGCCAUCCAUUCAAGAUCAUCUAUCUGAGCUGCUGAAAACUGCCUCGGUACGGAUCUGUUGCAGCUUUGUGUCACUGACUGUAUUUCUUCAAAUUCCUGUUCCGUGUCACAUGGCUUAUGCAAGACUGAAUCCAUGAAGGUG